rnacentral:rRNA from 1 species
AUUGAACGCUGGCGGCAGGCCUAACACAUGCAAGUCGAGCGGAGCGGCGGACGGGUGAGUAAUGCCUAGGAAUCUGCCUGGUAGUGGGGGAUAACGUCCGGAAACGGGCGCUAAUACCGCAUCCUAUCAGAUAAGCCUAGGUCGGAUUAGCUAGUUGGUGGGGUAAAGGCCUACCAAGGCGACGAUCCGUAACUGGUCUGAGAGGAUGGUCAGUCACACUGGAACGGGUAAACGGUCCAGAUUCCUACGGGAGGAAGCAGUGGGGAAUAUUGGACAAUGGGCGAAAGCCUGAUCCAGCCAUGCCGAGUGUGUGAAGAAGGUCUUCGGAUCGUAAAGAACUUUAAGUUGGGAGGCGUUACCAACAGAAUAAGCACCGGCUAACUUCGUGCCAGCCGCCGCGGUAAUUC